rnacentral:rRNA from 1 species
AACAUUGAACCUUCGGGGGAUUUGUUGGGCGGCGAGCGGCGGACGGGUGAGUAAUGCCUGGGAAAUUGCCCUGAUGUGGGGGAUAACCAUUGGAAACGAUGGCUAAUACCGCAUGAUAGCUUCGGCUCAAAGAGGGGGACCUUCGGGCCUCUCGCGUCAGGAUAUGCCCAGGUGGGAUUAGCUAGUUGGUGAGGUAAGGGCUCACCAAGGCGACGAUCCCUAGCUGGUCUGAGAGGAUGAUCAGCCACACUGGAACUGAGACACGGUCCAGACUCCUACGGGAGGCAGCAGUGGGGAAUAUUGCACAAUGGGCGCAAGCCUGAUGCAGCCAUGCCGCGUGUAUGAAGAAGGCCUUCGGGUUGUAAAGUACUUUCAGCAGUGAGGAAGGAGGUAUCGUUAAUAGCGGUAUCUUUUGACGUUAGCUGCAGAAGAAGCACCGGCUAACUCCGUGCCAGCAGCCGCGGUAAUACGGAGGGUGCGAGCGUUAAUCGGAAUUACUGGGCGUAAAGCGCAUGCAGGUGGUUUGUUAAGUCAGAUGUGAAAGCCCGGGGCUCAACCUCGGAAUUGCAUUUGAAACUGGCAGGCUAGAGUACUGUAGA